rnacentral:rRNA from 1 species
CGAACGGGUGAGUAACGCGUGGGUAACCUACCUCUUAGCGGGGGACAACUAUUGGAAACGAUAGCUAAUACCGCAUAACAAUACCUAACACAUGUUAAGUAUUUGAAAGCACCAAUUGGUGCACUAAGAGAUGGACCCGCGUUGUAUUAGCUAGUUGGUAGUGUAAUGGACUACCAAGGCGAUGAUACAUAGCCGACCUGAGAGGGUGAUCGGCCACAUUGGGACUGAGACACGGCCCAAACUCCUACGGGAGGCAGCAG